UCUUACAUGGUUCCCAGAGCACUGCCAGGUAUGACCUAAAAUUUCUAACUUAGAAAAAAGGCAUCAAAUGAUUAUGGUAGCUACAGUAUUUUUCAGUAUUACAAAGAAUGAUUUAGUCCUUUGGGUGUUUUUUUCUCUGUAGGUUAAGUCCAAAUUUCUGAUCUCUGGGGAUUUGUUUCUAUACCUCCAAUCUCCAGGUUGGGAGUAAAGGACCCUAAUUUCUAUGUGGGAAACUUGAAAACAACUUUACUCGUUCCAUUUUCAUCAUGUGACCUCAAUCUUCAUUGAAUUUCAUCAUAGUCUCCUUGGUAUUAUUACUUAAAACACUUAAGUACUAAGCAUUUAUAUGAUGGGAAAAUGCCACUGAAAAGACAGUGCCCCAAUACCAUGUAGAUUGUCCUUUAAGUUCCAGAACAAAACUAAUUCAAAUAAAUCAAAUUGAUGAUUUUA